UCCACGAUCUUCAAAUCCCUAAUAUCUAAAGGAAACAAAAUCUGACAUCUUGGAAAUCGAAUUCCUUCAAACCCUUCCUGUUUAUCUUCCUCCAAUUGAACUCUGAGAAACGGUUCAUGUUCAUCUUCCUCCAAUCCAAUUCCUUGAACCCAACUGUUAACCCUAAUCUCCAAGAACCCAGAAAUCACUGUGAGCCCUAACCCAUAACCCAUAAAUCCUCUUCUCUCCACCAUAUACCAGCAAUUCAAUUUUUCGAAAGUCGUACUUGUUCAUCGUCGUGCCGUCACAACUCAAAUCGUGGUUAUUAAGGAUUCCCGAGUCGUCGUUUGGUGGCUCGUGGCAAGUUGCACAACACCGAAGGUGAUAUGGUGCAUGGCAUUAAAUUACCUAUUGGAUAUGUUAAAGUUGCUAUGGAUGUUUCUGUUAUAUCAGACGCUCCAUUGCCCAUAUCUAUCGAAUAUGGAGAAGUCUCGAUAGUUGGUCAAGCAAUAGGUACAAUUGUGCCAUGGCCAUUCAAACUUGUUGAACUUAUUGUUGAACGUCAAAAGAUCCCAAAAAAAAUCCAAAAUAAGGAUAAGGUACAAACCUCUGAAUCAGUUGUGUCGCCAACCAAAAACCGGAAAAUUUUGAAAAAUCAAGUGGCGUACCCUAAAAAUGGUGGUUCAACUGGUUUACAAAAAUUAAAAUUCCUUGAUGAUUAUAUGAAAUAUGCCUGGAAGUCUGAAACUGUGAUGGAAAUAAAUAUGGGCGAUGAUAUAUUCUCUGAGGGAUUUUCUGAACAUUUGCAUUUAGCGCACAUAAAAGAGGUUGUUGAUCACGACUAGUUAAGUGCCUUUGCUGUCAUCGUGUAUGCUAGGUAUCUCUAUGACAAGCUUAUUUGUCCUCGUGGAUUAACAUACAAGAUAUCAUUUUUAUCCCCACAUGUAUCAUUUGAUGAUCUUCAAGGAAAAGAUAUAGCAAGGCUAUUGAUGAAAACUAAGGUGUUGAAGGAUGAAAAGAUAAUUCUUGCACCUUAUAAUAUUGGGAUUCGUGGGUUUUGUUUGUCAUCAAUCCCAAUGCUGAGGUUAUAUAUUUUUUGGAUCCGCUCGGUGGCGAACCUUCAGAUCAUGGAAGUAUAAAAACAAAGUUUGAAAAUGCAAUUCAAAUCUACCAUGCCAGGUGUGAAAAUAAAAUCUCCUAGUCAAAGAAAAAUAAAAUCAAAUGGAAUAA